CCUACGGGAGGCAGCAGUGAGGAAUAUUGGUCAAUGGACGAGAGUCUGAACCAGCCAAGUAGCGUGAAGGAUGACUGCCCUAUGGGUUGUAAACUUCUUUUAUAUGGGAAUAAAACAGCGUAUGCAUACCCUCUUGUAUGUACCAUAUGAAUAAGGAUCGGCUAACUCCGUGCCAGCAGCCGCGGUAAGACGGAGGAUCCGAGCGUUAUCCGGAUUUAUUGGGUGUAAAGGGAGCGUAGGUGGAUUGUUAAGUCAGUUGUGAAAGUUUGCGGCUCAACCGUAAAAUUGCAGUUGAAACUGGCAGUCUUGAGUAAAGUAGAGGUGGGCGGAAUUCGUGGUGUAGCGGUGAAAUGCUUAGAUAUCACGAAGAACUCCGAUGGCGAAGGCAGCUCACUGGACUGCAACUGACACUGAUGCUCGAAAGUGUGGGUAGCAAACAGGAUUAGAUACCCUGGUAGUC
rnacentral:rRNA from 1 species